UGUGGCGGGAUCAGGCCCCCCACUUAGUGUAUUUGACAAGCUGAGUUGGACACUCUGUAUCUCUGAGUGUCAGUUUGUCAAAUACCCCAAGUGAGGUGUCACUUGUCUAC
rnacentral:pre_miRNA from 11 species